GUCCACGCAGUAAACGAUGAAUACUAGCUGUAUGCGAUAUACUGUAUGUGGCAAAGCGAAAGCGUUAAGUAUUCCACCUGGGGAGUACGUUCGCAAGAAUGAAACUCAAAGGAAUUGACGGGGGCCCGCACAAGCGGAGGAACAUGUGGUUUAAUUCGAUGAUACGCGAGGAACCUUACCCGGGCUUGAAAUGCAGACGACCGACAGGGAAACUUGUCUUCCAGCAAUGGCGUCUGUGUAGGUGCUGCAUGGUUGUCGU
rnacentral:rRNA from 1 species